rnacentral:rRNA from 1 species
UACGGAGGGUGCAAGCGUUGUUCGGAUUUACUGGGCGUAAAGGGCGCGUAGGCGGCGCGGUAAGUCACUUGUGAAAUCUCUGAGCUUAACUCAGAACGGCCAAGUGAUACUGCAGUGCUAGAGUGCAGAAGGGGCAAUCGGAAUUCUUGGUGUAGCGGUGAAAUGCGUAGAUAUCAAGAGGAACACCUGAGGUGAAGACGGGUUGCUAGGCUGACACUGACGCUGAGGCGCGAAAGCCAGGGGAGCAAACGGG